UACGGAGGGUGCGAGCGUUGUUCGGAAUUACUGGGCGUAAAGCGCGUGUAGGCGGCCUCCUAAGUCUGGUGUGAAAGCCCGGGGCUUACCCCGGAAGUGCACUGGAUACUGGGAGGCUUGAGUACCGGAGAGGAGGGUGGAAUUCCUGGUGUAGCGGUGAAAUGCGUAGAUAUCAGGAAGAACACCGGUGGCGAAGGCGGCCCUCUGGACGGAUACUGACGCUGAGACGCGAAAGCGUGGGGAGCAAACAGG
rnacentral:rRNA from 1 species